rnacentral:snoRNA from 1 species
GGAUCGAUGAUGACACCCUCACAUAGCAUUCCUUGGAAAAUCUGAACAAAUGAGUGAGAACUCACUACCGUUCUCCUCAUCGAAACUGAGGUCC